AUGACGAGCGUGUUUGGCAAAAGCUGCGGGUCCACUUCCGGCUCCACGGUGGCCCUGGCCUGCCUGGUGUCAGGCUACUUCCCCGAGCCUGUAACCGUGUCCUGGAAUUACGGCUCCUUGACCAGCGGUGUGCACACCUUCCCGUCCGUCCUGCAGUCCUCAGGGCUCUACUCCCUCAGCAGCAUGGUGACAGUGCCCUCCAGCAGGUGGCCCAGCGAGACCUUCACCUGCAACGUGGCCCACCCGGCCAGCAACACUAAAGUAGACAAGCCAGUCCCUGAAAUGCUGGGAGGGCCUUCGGUCUUCAUCUUUCCCCCGAAACCCAAGGACACCCUCUUGAUUGCCCGAACACCCGAGGUCACAUGUGUUGUGGUGGAUCUGGACCCAGAAGAUUCUGAGGUGCAGAUCAGCUGGUUCGUGGAUGGUAAGCAGGUGCAAACAGCCAAGACUCAGCCUCGUGACGAGCAGUUCAACGGCACCUACCGUGUGGUCAGCGUCCUCCCCAUUGGGCACCAGGACUGGCUCAAGGGGAAGCAGUUCACGUGCAAAGUCAACAACAAAGCCCUCCCGUCCCCCAUCGAGAGGACCAUCUCCAAGGCCAGAGGGCAGGCCCAUCAGCCCAGUGUGUAUGUCCUGCCGCCAUCGCGGGACGAGUUGAGCAAGAACACGGUCACCCUGACCUGCCUGAUCAAAGACUUCUACCCACCUGACAUUGAUGUGGAGUGGCAGAGCAAUGGACAGCAGGAGCCCGAGAGGAAGCACCGCACGACCCCACCCCAGCUGGACGAGGACGGGUCCUACUUCCUGUACAGCAAGCUCUCUGUGGACAAGAGCCGCUGGCAGCGGGGAGACGCCUUCGUAUGUGCGGUGAUGCAUGAAGCUCUACACAACCACUACACACAGAAAUCCCUCUCCCAUUCUCCGGGUAAAUGA